GGGAGGUAGUGACAAUAAAUAACAAUACAGGGUUCUUUUGGAUCUUGUAAUUGGAAUGAGUACAAUUUAAAUCUCUUAACGAGGAACAAUUGGAGGGCAAGUCUGGUGCCAGCAGCCGCGGUAAUUCCAGCUCCAAUAGCGUAUAUUAAAGUUGUUGCAGUUAAAAAGCUCGUAGUUGAAUUUCGGGAUUGACGCAUCGGUCGUGCACUAAGGGGUAUGAACUGGAGUAGUCAGUUUCUCACCUUCUGGAGAACCGCGAUGUCCUUAAUUGGGUGCCGCGAGGAACCAGGACCUUUACUUUGAAAAAAUUAGAGUGUUUAAGGCAGGCAUUUUGCUUGAAUACAUUAGCAUGGAAUAAUAAAAUAGGACGGAUGGUUCUAUUUUGUUGGUUUCUAGGAUCACCGUAAUGAUUAAUAGGGAUAGUUGGG
rnacentral:rRNA from 1 species